rnacentral:rRNA from 1 species
GCAAGUUGAGCGGUAAGGCCCUUCGGGGGUACACGAGCAGCGAACGGGUGAGUAACGCGUGGGUAAUCUACCCAUGAGGUGGAGGAUAGCCUUGGGAAACCGGGGGUAAUACUGCAUACGUCUCGACUGACACAAGUCUAACGAGGCAAAGGCGGGGAUCUUCGGACCUGUCGCCUCUGGAUGAGCCCGCGUCCGAUUAGCUAGUUGGUGAGGUAAUGGCUCACCAAGGCAUCGAUCGGUAGCCGGCCUGAGAGGGUGAAC